ensembl:lincRNA
CAAAAAGAACAGGAGUCAGGACUUCCCUGGAGAUCCAGUGGUUAAGGAUCCGCCUGCCCGUGCAGGGGACCCAGGUUCGGUCCCUGGUCUGGGAAGGUCCCGCCCACCGCAGAGCAGCUAAGCCCGAGCAUCACAGGUUCUGAGCCAGGGUGCCUGGAGCCUGGAAGCCAUAGGAGAGAAGACGAGCUACCACAGUGAGCCAGUGCACGGCCAUAAAGACCCAGCGCAGCCAAAAAUAAACGAAAAAAAUAGGAGUCAGACCCUGUGUGCGGGUGGGAAGCUCUCCAAGGGGACUCGGUGACUCCAGGGUGUUCUGGGAGAAGCCGGGCUGGGUGGGAGAGCGAAUCACACGGCCCGUGUCGGAGCCGACAGGGCUGCAGAGCAGGUGAGCGCCUGCAGGCAGGAUGCCUGGCAGGCUCUGUCCCUGUUUGCAGGGAGGCUUCUCAGCAGCUGGUCCUCAUGUGGACCAGGGCCGGGGCUGGGAGGACAGGUGGGCGGGCAGGGGACCUGGAGGCAGCCGCGUGAGGUGGCCCGGCCGGCCCUGCUGCGGCCCGCAGACGCCCGAGGCCUCGGGGGAGGGAAAUGAGGAGGGGCUGUAUGUCCAGAACUCUGCCUGGCAAUGCCCUUAAGAUGGGUGCCUGAAGAAGCCCCUAUAGAAAAGCUCACACAAGACGGACGCUUACACACCACAGUCACCGCCUCUGCAUGACUUAGGAACAGUGUCCCAGCCAGGAGGGCUGAGAAUCCAUGAUGGCGAUGUGCCUGCAACAGGACCAGGUGCCUGUGAGCAGGACCAGGUGUGCCCGUGAGCGGGACCAAGUGUGCCCGUGACCGGGGCCAGGUGUGCCUGUGACCUGGACCAGGUAUCCCUGUGAGCGGGACCAGGUGUGCCUGUGACCUGGACCGGGUGUGCCUGUGACCUGGACCGGGUGUGUCCGUGAGCUGGACCAGGUGGUGUUUUAAAGGCAGCAUCAACUCUGCCUCUCCUGGUUCUCCUUGCUGGAGCAGAAGGCAGAUCUGUGCUGAGAGUGAAGAUGGAGUGUGGAUUCUUUCUUCUGCAGGUGUGAACACACCUCCACUCCCUGGCUCCCUCAGCUUUCAGCCCCUCAUCCUGCCCACAGUCUAUACCCCAGCCUGCAGGCACUUCCUGAUCGAUGGCGCAUCCUGCCCUGGGAAUCCGGCUGCCUUCAGCCCCAGGCCCCUCCCACCCCUCGGCGUGCUCUGGGCCUGAAGUCUCGGUGUAGACCAGACACGCUGCCUCCCGCGCCUGCCCUGUCUGCUGCGGGUGCCAGGUGUGCCCAGAUGACCCAGCCUCCCUGGGAGGAGGGGACAAGCAUCGCUGGAGAGGGGUCUAGGCUGGUGUGCAGAGGGGCAGGAUGCACACGUCUGGAGCUCGGACCUGCACAGGGGACCCUCUGCCCCUCACUCUCUACCCUCCAAGCUCCCAGCACCUCCCCAGGGGCUGUGUGAGGUCCUGCUCUGCAAAACCCAGGGCCAACCAGCCCCGAGCGGGCGAGGGGCCUUCAGGCUUCAGGACGCCCCAACUCCAAGCUCUCUGAUUCUCCCACCUCAUACCCAGCGAGCCGGGCUGGCAACACGGGGGAGCUGGAGCCACAGCACAGGACACCCGUCAGGCUCUGCCUGGUCACUGGGCUGGGCUGCUGGGCCAGCAUCGCAACCCCCACUUGAAGAGCUCAGGGGCGCCUGCCCUGCUGAGUGACCACACCCUGGGGGCUCGGGAGUGGGAGCCAGGCCAGGAGAGGCUGUGGGCUCCUCAGGGUGGCUGGCGGCUGG